CAGUAGCCGCGGUAAUACGAAGGGUGCAAGCGUUAAUCGGAAUUACUGGGCGUAAAGCGUGCGUAGGCGGUUCGUUAAGUCUGCUGUGAAAUCCCCGGGCUCAACCUGGGAAUGGCAGUGGAUACUGGCGAGCUAGAGUGUGUCAGAGGAUGGUGGAAUUCCCGGUGUAGCGGUGAAAUGCGUAGAGAUCGGGAGGAACAUCAGUGGCGAAGGCGGCCAUCUGGGACAACACUGACGCUGAGGCACGAAAGCGUGGGGAGCAAACAGGAUUAGAUACCCCCGUAGUCCCUGUCUCUUAACA
rnacentral:rRNA from 1 species